CCUACUCCCUUCAAACAAUCUACAAUAUAAGAAAGAUUUAUGGUCUGGAAAUUCCAAUUUUGCCCUGCUGUCUCACAAAUGCUCCACGUGGAUAGCUUUAUCAAGUUUCCCUUCAAUUUGCUUAUGCCAUAUCCUCCACGUCUUCUAACUUUCGUUCCUCUUUUUUAAUUUUGAAAUUCAAAUUUUGAAUCUUGCUUCUUUAGCUUUUAGGGUUUCAAGUUUUCUUCUUUCUAUAUCCACUCUGUGUUGGUGAUGUUGGCUCACACGGAAGAGGGAAGAUUCGUCGGUGGUGGUGAGAUUUACGGGUUUGGUUGACAUCAGUGUUUAUCUUCCUCGCAAACUUGUGGCGGUCUUUUUCUUCCUCACAAACUUAAUCAUCUUCUUUACAAGAUUUUAGGGUUCCUUCCUCUUUCACAUUUGACCCACCAGGUGUUCGAUAAAAUUCUGCAUUGAACGUUUUGAAAUUUGGGAACAAACAACAACUAUAUAUGCAUGGUGAUCAUGUGAUUUUUAAUGUUGAAGAAAAUUGGCAAAUGGCUAAGUUUUAUAGCAACAAGGGACAUACAGCUGGUCUUUUCAAUUUGGGAAAUACCCGUUAUAUGAACUCAACAUUGUAAUGCCUCUAUUCUGGUCCAGUUUUCAAGUGUGGGAUACCUGGAUCGGUGUUUGUCUCUCUUUUCUCAUGCUUUUUAUUUUCAACAGGAUCCUUACAAAGGCAUAUUAAGGGCGUGUGUGGAGCAACCGUAACAUUGUAAACACCGUCGUGGAUUGAUGAAGAAGCACAACAGCUUUCUUAUUGACAAAAGCAUUUAGCUAACAUUGUGCCUCUGGAUUAUUGGCCUUGACAAGAGUGGGAAGCCGAAGAGUCAUCCAUAUAUCAGCCGGUUUUAUGAUGUUCUUAUCUGUAUUUGGAAAAUUUGGGGUCGUUUUUGCUUCUAUACCUUUGCCAAUCAUAGCAACGUUAUAUUGUAUAUUUUUCGGUUACGUCUGUUUUGAAAAGAGAAAUUCAUAUCAACGAGCUUCAGUGGUAAGCGUAUUGCAUGUUCAAGACACUCGCGUGCUGCACAAAGAGGGAGUCAUCCAUAGAGAAAUCAUGCUAUGGCUGUGGAUGUUUCUACUGCGGCGGCAGCUGAUGCUGCAGUGGCUGCUGCACAGGUUGUUGUUGUUAUGAUCCGUUUGACUUCUGGUACGAACGAGAGUUAUAGAAGUAUUGAAGAUGCUGCUGCUGUUAAAAUUCAAUGCCUCUAUCAAUCACACUUAUUAAGAAGUUAGUUUUAUGGGUAAUGAUUUCCUUAUUUCAUAAUUGGAUUGUUGUUAUAGUAUUUGGCUUGUCAGUUUAACAAUCCAUAUGCUUUAAACCUAAUGUUUGGCACUCCUAGCAUUAGGUUUGAAUGAUAGUUUUGAAACCAAUAGAAUAAUGAUUUGUUCCUCAGAUUUGUGAGGUUCGGUGAGUCAUUUGUCUUGCACUUUAUAUUUUCCACUUCAUAUUAUUUGAACCUGAUUAUUAGUAACUAUUAUCUUCUUUAAAAGUGUGUGUUAGUAAAUUUCGCCUACUAUCAAAUAUCAAGCACAAAAAUGGUUCGGUCAGUGUAUCACUUCUGACUGAACACCGACGAAAAGUGUAUCACUCUCAACCGCAUUGGCGAACCUUAACCCUUCCUACUGCUAAGUUAUUAUAUCAAACCUUUGAUAUCUUCAUUGAUAUUUUUUUCUGAAUUUUUGAGAAUUUGAUGUUUCAAGGAUGAGAGAUUUCGAAGGAGGAGAAGUAUGAGGAGUCAUCAUAUCAUACUUUCUACAAUUCUCGGUUAGGCAACACAAUUGCAGACUAAAUAAAAUGCCCAUAGAUGUCUCCGUAAAGACAUCACAACCACAAUUGCAACAUCUGAAUUAUUACAUUUGUACUAAUAAUACUUUUGCUUUGUUUGCUUCAGUCAUUCGGUCCAAGAAUCCAGAGUUUCUGAUCCGUGAGAAGGUCGGUAAGAGUUCAAGUUGUAGCCAAACAUACAACGAUCGAGUUAACAGGACGAGUUAGGCCAAGUUUGCUGUAAGAAGUUUUAUGUAUUCUCACUGACCUCAAAUGCAACGUCGUAGUGGCCGAAGUUUGGACUAACAAUUCAAGAAUGUCAGUAGUUUACAUCACCGACGACGCGGCAGGAUUGUCGAUAGACAAUCAUGACCGCCAUGCCAAAAUUAACCAUCUCCUACUAAAUGUCUUGAUAGUGCUUAGACCAAAAUAUUAGAAGCCUCAAACAUUCUUUGACAGUCAUCUCCAACUAAUGCUUCUGGUGAGGGUACUGAAACAAAAAAUCAAUGACUCCUCCUCCAUCAUAGGGAUGUUAGAAGAGUCUGAAUAUGAAUUGACGCAUUUGUGGUGAUCAUGGAGAAUGAAUAUCACGGGCAUGCUAUUAAGCUUAGGUAACAUCCUUCCUCCUCCUCAUCAACGAAAACCAUCUAUAGCUCAUCCUUCCUCCCGUAUGGACCGACUAAUACACUGGUUUGGCUAUUGAUGAAGUUUGAAAUUUCAAGACUUUCAAAGUGCUUUUAUAGAGUUAUUUGUGUUGCCUGUUGAGAUUUCAAAUUGCUACUGAGAUAGCCAUUGGACUCCUUUUCCUUCACCUGACUAAACCUGAACCGAUAAAGCACUGUAACUUGAAACCUGUAAACAUUUUGCUUGACGGAAACUAUGUGAGCAAUAUUGGUGAUGCUGGUUUGUCAAGGAUUGUUCCUCCUUCUGUCCAAGACAGUCACUUAGUAUCGCAUGAAUUCUACAAUUUCUACAAAUCAAAAACCGUAGUAAGGUAACUACUAAUAUCUUCAUGAACCACAUCUCCAAACUUAGGCAAGUUACGACUAUCGAUGGCACGUUUACUCAUAUUCGCAUUGGCGAGUUUGAUCAUGCGGGUAAUUGUUCUGAUUUUAACCAUAGUUCUACAUCUUUGAACCAUGGAAGAUUUGAGAGGAUGGAACCAUCUAAUACAGUGAGAGUUGUUGAUUUGAGUGUUGUUUCGGAUUCGGGUUAUCGUAAUUCGGGUGUUCGUGUAAAGGCUUCAAGGCUUCAAGUGCAGUCUACAUGUUUGUGAAAUUGUCUUUCAAAUGAAAAUACUAUUAAAUUAUAGGCAAACAGUUCAUAUGAUGUUCUGCUUCCAUUUCUAUAAGGUUUUUGACCCACCUUGCUGCUGGUCUCAAGAUGACAUUGCUAAAGAUUUACUUGAGAAGGACAUACCAUAUGUAAAUACAAUUUCCAAAGCCGCUAAGUUACCUCCUUUGUAAGAUGAUGGACCUCCAAGUAAUUUCUACGGGAUAUUUUCUGAUAGAGAACGAAGUAACCGAAGAGGUUCUUGGGAUGGUAUAGGUUUUAGAUCCUCACGGUGAUGGGGUGGAGGCGAAGCUCUAAUGAUGACUUUUGUGACUCAAGGAGGGGUGGCAGAGACGAUACUUUGGUGAAUUAAGGAGGGGUGGUAGAAGUAGUUUAAAUCUGGCAACAGUUGGUCCAAACGAGAAAGAAGCAUCCCGAAUGAUUGGCUAAUUGGAGGCAACCAAUCAAGCAGGUCUCUAUCAUCACCAAACAGGUUAUAAUAAAUAAUAAUAAUAAUAAUAAUAAUAAUGAUUCUUUUUAUUGUUGUCUGUAAUUUCUCUACCAAUUUAAGCCACUUAAUGAGCCUUAUCUGCUUGAUAUCAAGUUCAUGUUUAACCGGUCUGAAUUUUAAAAUGCAUUGCAGAAGCUUUGGAGGGGUAUUAUCUAUGGUUAAUUUUAUUGGAGGAAAUGUUAUGCUUCAUUAUCUGUUCUUUUUUUACCUUUUAACAAUGUAUAACUGAUCUGUUAUCUAUGCUUGAUUUUAACUUUUGUCGAUUUUCUUAUUUUCUAAGUUCUUUAACAUACUUUAACUCUUUCCAUUAAUCAUGAAGUAAUGUGCACAUUCCAUAAAUAAUUCAAGUUUGUAUUAAACUGAUUGUUUAAUCUUUAAAAAGUUGUAGCCCAUUUGCAUAUCCUGAAAGCUAGGCAAAUAUGCUCGCCUCUCAAAUAGAAGUGAAAAAACUCUAAAAGUGAGAGCAGCUGCUUUUUGCAAAAAAUUGCAGUAUUAAAGCUUGCCAUUAACUCCUAUGUUUGGUUGAACUUGAAAGAGAUGCUAAGCUAGAGCAAGAAGGGAUGCUUGAAGAUGUAUUUGGAAUCACAAGAAACUCAUUAAAGGACACAAAUGUUUCUUCCAUGAGAUACUUAUCCCUCACCCUCAAUUAACAUGUACAUAUUGCCUUUAAUCAAGAUGAAUGCUCAUGAUGAUGACAAUUCUUCAGCAUGUAAAACUGAUGUUACGCCUUGAACUCCUGAAAAGGCUGUUGGGAUUUCUUUUCUUCCCUAUAUAAUAUGUUGUGAAUGUUAUAUUCGUUUAUUUUUAUAGGUUGUUGUUAUGUUACAAAUGAGUGAGUGGAAUGAGUGAAAGAAUGUUUUUGUUGCCUAUUUUUAGUCGUGGAUGGUUUUCUUUCAAUUCACUGUCAAUUGUUUCAUAACGUGCUAUCCCAUUGUUGGCUUAAUAACUUAUUCAUUAUCCAUAGUAAAAAUAUAUUUCUCAUACCUUGAAAUAUGUAAGUACACUUAAAUUUAAAUAAGUUUUUAUAAUAUCUUAUAAAUACAAUUAAUAUUUUUAAUUAUGUGAUAUAAAACAAUAUUUUUAAGGCUUUGUUAAUUUUUAUUAUUUUUUGUCUUGGAUGGAUAAUUUAUUAGUCAUAACAUGCUUAAUCUCCCUUUUCACUCUAACCGUAAUAUAGUAGACUGCGAAGAUAAUAGUGAUAUUGAUAAAAAAAUAAUUAUAUUGUUUUAAUAAAUAUAUAAUAUUUUAUUUUUUUUGUUAUUCUAUUUAUCUAUAUAUAAAUAUAACUUAUUAUAAA